rnacentral:ncRNA from 1 species
GACAUUGUUGAAAGGAGAGGUUAGCAUUCCCUUUGAUAAAAAUGGAAGAGAUCCUAGAGGCCUUUAUAAUUCAGUUACUAAAGGCAAUGCCUUCUAUUUGAUGGACUCCAACUAUAUUAAGAAAAAUUUUUUU